UACGUAGGGGGCGAGCGUUGUCCGGAUUCAUUGGGCGUAAAGAGCUCGUAGGCGGCUUGGUAAGUCGGGUGUGAAACCUCCAGGCUCAACCUGGAGACGCCACUCGAUACUGCCAUGGCUAGAGUCCGGUAGGGGCCCACGGAAUUCCUGGUGUAGCGGUGAAAUGCGCAGAUAUCAGGAGGAACACCGGUGGCGAAGGCGGCACUCUGGGCUGGAAUUGACGCUGAGGAGCGAAAGUGUGGGUAGCAAACAGG
rnacentral:rRNA from 1 species